rnacentral:rRNA from 1 species
GAUCUCUUGGUUCUGGCAUCGAUGAAGAACGCAGCAAAAUGCGAUAAGUAAUGUGAAUUGCAGAAUUCAGUGAAUCAUCGAAUCUUUGAACGCACAUUGCGCCCGCCAGUAUUCUGGCGGGCAUGCCUGUUCGAGCGUCAUUUCAACCCUCAA